CUAAGGAGCUGGGUGGUGGCGCAGUCAUUUUGCUGAUCUGAUGCUUCUCCCACACCCGUAAGUGGGAGUGGAGCAGGGCGUGUGGGUCCGGCUGCUGCCUCUGCCUCGGCACUUCAGAGACGGUCAUCUGCUCCUGUUCUUGCCGUUCGCGGGGUCUGCCUCCAGCAAGUUCUCCUUCAGCAUUCUGAGUGUACCACGGGACAGCUAGAAUACAGAGACGUGUAACAGCCUGGUCCUCAUUCCGCCGAUGAGGAAGC
rnacentral:lncRNA from 10 species